AACGAACGCUGGCGGCAUGCCUAACACAUGCAAGUCGAACGAGACCUUCGGGUCUAGUGGCGCACGGGUGCGUAACGCGUGGGAACCUGCCCUUAGGUUCGGAAUAACUCCCCGAAGGGGGUGCUAAUACCGGAUAAUGUCUUCGGACCAAAGAUUUAUCGCCUUUGGAUGGGCCCGCGUUGGAUUAGCUAGUUGGUAGGGUAAAAGCCUACCAAGGCGACGAUCCAUAGCUGGUCUGAGAGGAUGAUCAGCCACACUGGGACUGAGACACGGCCCAGACUCCUACGGGAGGCAGCAGUGGAGAAUAUUGGACAAUGGGCGAAAGCCUGAUACAGCAAUGCCGCGUGAGUGAUGAAGGCCUUAGGGUUGUAAAGCUCUUUUACCCGGGAUGAUAAUGACAGUACCGGGAGAAUAAGCUCCGGCUAACUCCGUG
rnacentral:rRNA from 1 species